GAUGAAGAACGCAGCGAAAUGCGAUAAGUAAUGUGAAUUGCAGAAUUCAGUGAAUCAUCGAAUCUUUGAACGCACAUUGCGCCCGCCAGUAUUCUGGCGGGCAUGCCUGUUCGAGCGUCAUUUCAACCAUCAAGCCCCCGGCUUGUGUUGGGGACCUGCGGCUGCCCGCAGGCCCUGAAAACCAGUGGCGGGCUCGCUAUCACACCGAGUGCAGUAGAUUACUCUUCGCUCAGGGCGUGCAGCGGGUUCCGGCCGUGAAACCCCCUACUUUUAAAGGUUGACCUCGGAUCAGGUAGGAAUACCCGCUGAACUUAAGCAUAUCAAUAAGCGGAGGA
rnacentral:misc_RNA from 1 species